rnacentral:rRNA from 1 species
AUGAACGCUGGCGGCGUGCCUAAUACAUGCCAGUCGAGCGCACAGACGAGGAGCUUGCUCCUCUGACGUUAGCGGCGGACGGGUGAGUAACCCGUGGAUAACCUACCUAUAAGACUGGGAUAACUUCGGGAAACCGGAGCUAAUACCGGAUAAUAUAUUGAACCGCCUGGUUCAAUAGUGAAAGACGGUUUUGCUGUCACUUAUAGAUGGAUCCGCGCCGCAUUAGCUAGUUGGUAAGGUAACGGCUUACCAAGGCAACGAUGCGUAGCCGACCUGAGAGGGUGAUCGGCCACACUGGAACUGAGACACGGUCCAGACUCCUACGGGAGGCAGCAGUAGGGAAUCUUCCGCAAUGGGCGAAAGCUUGACGGAGCAACGCCGCGUGAGUGAUGAAGGUCUUCGGAUCGUAAAACUCUGUUAUUAGGGAAGAACAAAUGUGUAAGUAACUAUGCACGUCUUGACGGUACCUAAUCAGAAAGCCACGGCUAACUACGUG